rnacentral:ribozyme from 14 species
AAGAGUAAAUAUUGAUGUCAGGUAUGCAACAAAGUUCGUUUCUUCACAAUCCUCCCCUGUAUUUUAUUAUUUUUUUUUAAUUUGGGUAAGUUUUUGAUGUGUUAGAUAAAAAUGCAGUAGCAGGUCUAAAAGGUACGAAGUGUGCAAAGGAGACGAAAGACUACUGGAUAGACAGGCUUAUUUUCUUUGUACUAUAUUACUACUAUCAAUUUUUUAGGUUUCGAAAGGCAGCUUACCAUAAUAGAGCAUCGAGCGGUUGCAAAGGCACUGCAUCUGUUGGUUCAAUUCAUAGCACACCU